AGGACGAACGCUGGCGGCGUGCUUAACACAUGCAAGUCGAACGGUGAAGCCCUUCGGGGUGGAUCAGUGGCGAACGGGUGAGUAACACGUGAGCAACCUGCCCUUGGCUCUGGGAUAACUCCGGGAAACCGGGGCUAAUACCGGAUACGACCUCCGCAGGCAUCUGCGGUGGUGGAAAGAAUUUCGGCCAAGGAUGGGCUCGCGGCCUAUCAGCUUGUUGGUGGGGUAAUGGCCCACCAAGGCGACGACGGGUAGCCGGCCUGAGAGGGCGAUCGGCCACACUGGGACUGAGACACGGCCCAGACUCCUACGGGAGGCAGCAGUGGGGAAUAUUGCGCAAUGGGCGAAAGCCUGACGCAGCAACGCCGCGUGAGGGAUGAAGGCCUUCGGGUUGUAAACCUCUUUCAGCAGGGAAGAAGCGAAAGUGACGGUACCUGCAGAAGAAGCACCGGCUAACUACGUGCCAGCAGCCGCGGUAAUACGUAGGGUGCAAGCGUUGUCCGGAAUUAUUGGGCGUAAAGAGCUCGUAGGUGGUUUGUCGCGUCUGCUGUGAAAAUUCGGGGCUCAACCCCGGACUUGCAGUGGGUACGGGCAGACUAGAGUGUGGUAGAGGAGACUGGAAUUCCUGGUGUAGCGGUGGAAUGCGCAGAUAUCAGGAGGAACACCAGUGGCGAAGGCGGGUCUCUGGGCCACAACUGACACUGAGGAGCGAAAGCGUGGGGAGCGAACAGGAUUAGAUACCCUGGUAGUCCACGCCGUAAACGUUGGGCGCUAGGUGUGGGGCUCUUUCCACGAGUUCCGCGCCGCAGCUAACGCAUUAAGCGCCCCG
rnacentral:rRNA from 1 species